UAUUUCUCUCAGUGUAGCUGACAAUUGCAUGAAUACUACACAUUGAUUGACUAUACAUUGUCAUAGUAGCCCAGGUUUGCUUUAAUAUAUGUAUCUACACUUAUGCAAAUUAGAGUUUAGAAAAAAAAAAACGGAAACUAUUUACACACUUACACAGUUUAAAUUAACUAGCGACAAAACCCUCCGCCUGCAACCUGCCUUUACGUUAAUUUAAAUACUGUGAAUGAAUUAUUGCUCCACCGACUGCGCACAGAUCGGAUAAUUUAUGGUAAAAAUGGUAAAACAAUCAAAGAUGCUUACACUAUGUUGCAGAUAUCGAAAGUAGAUCAGAGGAAAAAAAAGAGCCAAGGCUGCAAGCCGUGAUCAUCACUGGUAUUCCAAUUUGUUUCUUACUAUGACCCAAGCCACGUUGAUUAAGAGACAGACGAAGCAGAAUAAGCAAUCAUUGUUUAAAAAUAAACAACUUGAGGGAGACCCAGCUACUAAAUUUGGCUUAUUGGAUUAAUUUAAACACAUUUUAUAUGGAUUUUGAGUAAAGAUCAGAUUAAGCCUAGCUAAUAAUAGCUUUAGCUUAGCUAUAAAAUUUGACAAUUUAAUAACAAGCUUCAAUAUAUAUGAUAAAUAAAGGGUUAAGCCCAGGCCAGAAAUGUGAGAAGUCAGCUUAGCAACUGUGAUUCGAA